GAUGAACGCUGGCGGCGUGCCUAAUACAUGCAAGUCGAGCGAACAGACGAGGAGCUUGCUCCUCUGACGUUAGCGGCGGACGGGUGAGUAACACGUGGAUAACCUACCUAUAAGACUGGGAUAACUUCGGGAAACCGGAGCUAAUACCGGAUAAUAUAUUGAACCGCAUGGUUCAAUAGUGAAAGACGGUUUUGCUGUCACUUAUAGAUGGAUCCGCGCCGCAUUAGCUAGUUGGUAAGGUAACGGCUUAUCAAGGCAACGAUGCGUAGCCGACCUGAGAGGGUGAUCGGCCACACUGGAACUGAGACACGGUCCAGACUCCUACGGGAGGCAGCAGUAGGGAAUCUUCCGCAGUGGGCGAAAGCCUGACGGAGCAACGCCGCGUGAGUGAUGAAGGUCUUCGGAUCGUAAAACUCUGUUAUUAGGGAAGAACAAAUGUGUAAGUAACUAUGCACGUCUUGACGGUACCUAAUCAGGAAGCCACGGCUAACUACGUG
rnacentral:rRNA from 1 species